UUGGUCAAUGGAACAGGACUUGCUGUAACC
rnacentral:piRNA from 1 species